rnacentral:rRNA from 1 species
AUUGAACGCUGGCGGCAUGCUUUACACAUGCCAGUCGAACGGUAACAGGCCGCAAGGUGCUGACGAGUGGCGAACGGGUGAGUAAUGCAUCGGAACGUGCCCAGUCGUGGGGGAUAACUACUCGAAAGAAUAGCUAAUACCGCAUACGAUCUAUGGAUGAAAGCGGGGGACCGUAAGGCCUCGCGCGAUUGGAGCGGCCGAUGUCAGAUUAGGUAGUUGGUGGGGUAAAGGCUCACCAAGCCAACGAUCUGUAGCUGGUCUGAGAGGACGACCAGCCACACUGGGACUGAGACACGGCCCAGACUCCUACGGGAGGCAGCAGUGGGGAAUUUUGGACAAUGGGCGCAAGCCUGAUCCAGCAAUGCCGCGUGCAGGAAGAAGGCCUUCGGGUUGUAAACUGCUUUUGUACGGAACGAAACGGCUCUGGUUAAUACCCGGGGCUAAUGACGGUACCGUAAGAAUAAGCACCGGCUAACUACGUG